UUCAGCUGUCAUCAGUCAUGCUGCAGUGCCUGAAAUAGUCUCAUAACACAUAAAGGAGAUGAUUUGGGACUUGUAUGUAGGUACAUGAGUAGAAAGUAAAUAGUCCAGUGGCCUCACUAAAAUUACAGAGAAAAAUUCAUAUGGACCUAGCAAUCCCAGGAGAAGUGUAAGCACUUUCUUGGAAUUGCAUCUUUCCAGAAGCCCUCAGAUGAACUGUUGAUCAGAGAAAACAGGAGCUACGUAACAGCCCACAAUUGGGAAACAGAGAGAUGGGGAGAGGAAACAACUUCUGAAGUGGGCCACAGCCACAGAACUAGAAAAAAAGCUGCAGUUUACCUGACUCCACCAUAGCACAUCCCCAUCAGAAGUUAGAAGAAAACCUUCAAAGAAAUAAAGAAAGAGAUAGGUAAAGAGACUAGAGAAACACAAGAAGAAAAGUUGUAAAAAGUCAUGUAAAAACCAUGAAUAUCUCAUAAACCAACUCUGCUGUAACCCUCAAAUCUCAGAUUUCCAGAUUCCUAGUCACCUACUAUAAUAAUGCACAAAGCAUUCGCAGGUGGAUUAUCUUUUAAAAAUG